GGCGUAUUUUGCCCAGGCGGAGCUCGACCGCCCCGUCAAGCGAUGAUGGACUUUAUGGAUGAACACCGCGAAGCCGACGGGGUCGAGCCGAUCUGCAAGGUUCUGCAGGUUGCCCG
rfam:Thiocystis violascens DSM 198, complete genome.